GAUGAACGCUGGCGGCGUGCCUAAUACAUGCAAGUCGAGCGAACGGACGAGAAGCUUGCUUCUUUGAUGUUAGCGGCGGACGGGCGAGUAACACGUGGAUAACCUACCUAUAAGACUGGGAUAACUUCGGGAAACCGGAGCUAAUACCGGAGAAUAUUUUGAACCGCAUGGUUCAAAAGUGAAAGACGGUCUUGCUGUCACUUAUAGAUGGAUCCGCGCUGCAUUAGCUAGUUGGUAAGGUAACGGCUUACCAAGGCAACGAUGCAUAGCCGACCUGAGAGGGUGAUCGGCCCCACUGGAACUGAGGCACGGUCCAAACUCCUACGGGAGGCAGCAGUAGGGAAUCUUCCGCAAUGGGCGAAAGCCUGACGGAGCAACGCCGCGUGAGUGAUGAAGGUCUUCGGAUCGUAAAACUCUGUUAUUAGGGAAGAACAUAUGUGUGAGUAACUGUGCACAUCUUGACGGUACCUAAUCAGAAAGCCACGGCUAACUACGUG
rnacentral:rRNA from 1 species